rnacentral:rRNA from 1 species
UACCAGCACCCCGAGUGGUCGGGACGUUUAUUGGGCCUAAAGCAUCCGUAGCCGGUUCUACAAGUCUUCCGCUAAAUCCACCUGCUUAACAGAUGGGCUGCGGAAGAUACUAUGGAGCUAGGAGGCGGGAGAGGCAAGCGGUACUCGAUGGGUAGGGGUAAAAUCCGUUGAUCCAUUGAAGACCACCAGUGGCGAAGGCGGCUUGCCAGAACGCGCUCGACGGUGAGGGAUGAAAGCUGGGGGAGCAAACCGG